UACGUAGGGGGCUAGCGUUGUCCGGAUUUAUUGGGCGUAAAGGGCGCGUAGGCGGCUUGGCAAGUCAAAGGUGAAAUCCCUCGGCUCAACUGAGGAACUGCCUUUGAAACUGCCUGGCUUGAGGCCGGGAGGGGGUAGCGGAAUUCCCAGUGUAGCGGUGAAAUGCGUAGAUAUUGGGAGGAACACCAGUGGCGAAGGCGGCUACCUGGACCGGUUCUGACGCUGAUGCGCGAAAGCGUGGGUAGCAAACAGG
rnacentral:rRNA from 1 species